GGAGAGAUGCUGGAGUGGACGAUCAGGCUCGCCUGGAAAGCGGGUGUAGGAAACUACCGUGGGUUCGAAUCCCACUCUCUCCGCCA
rnacentral:tRNA from 1 species